UGUCAGUAACGUGAUCUUAUACUCCAUCCAGACAAAGUGCGGCGGGGAAAUAAAUUGAGUAGCGGAUGCGCGUUGUCGAUGAAGCGACUUCUUGACUUUUGUUGUUAGUUUAAAAGAGCUUAGUAUAAUUCAACCCACAUACAUACAGACAUAGUUGUUUGAUUAUGAAAAGCUAAUCUGUUUGCAUUUCAAUUCGCACAAGUAUAUUAAUUGAAUUAAGUCGCAAGUGGGAACAAAUAUCAGGUUAAUAAUGAAUGUCUCGCGCUAUUCAAUGACGGAACAAAGAAAGCAUUUGAGCUGUCUACUUUGCAAGUGUUAAAUAUGAUUGACGUAAGACGCCAUUUGCUAAAAUUAUAUGGAAGAAAAUGCGCAAUACCAUCAAAAAACGCAAUUGUCAGAAUCUAAUGUCAACUUUUAACCACUUCCAACUAGCAAAAUUAAGAGGGCUACAAAACUGCAUAUAGUGUAAUUACCCCAAAAAGGCCAACAAUGCACACGAAAAUCGCUGGGUAAUUAUAAAAACAAGCGCCAAUCGACUAAAAUGAGGCGGUUGACACCCUGUAAAUUGUCAUUCAGUAGCUCAACGCUUUUGUAGUCGAAGCACACGAGGAACAUAUGCGACAUACAUAUGUAGGUAACCAAAAAUAGCACAACGCAAUGCAGAAAAAACAACAACAAAACAAAAAGAAAAUAAAAUAGAAUUAAUAUAAUUAAAUGAAAACGAACGACGGGCAGACGAAACAAGUUAAAAAACAUGGUAACGUAAAUGACAGCACUUCACAAAGGCCUUUAAAUUUGUAAAACAAAAUCGAGAAAUUCAUAUCGGACGCCGCUCGUUUAGCGGCACUCGUCUGCCCGCCUGCUCAGCGUAUUGUUGUAAUCGUAUGCGUGCUUUGAUUGUACGUGAGAAUAUGUUGUAUGCGGCGCACGAAGUGUCCCAAAGCGCUCGAGAAGCAGAAAAAACAAAAAUCAGCGACAAGCGACGGCCACUAGACACGGCACUGGCGCAUACAGCAGCAGCAGCAGCAGCCACAACAAAAAUUACUCAAAGGCAUGUCACAUAGUUUAAAAAUAAAAUAGCCAGACAGUCAGUCAGCCUACAUAGUCAUAAAAAUUGCAGGCCGCAUCGCCCACCAACACCGUGCCAUGCCACUAUAUCUACCCUCCUGGCUGCGAUACGCGGCUGCAGCUGCCGCCACCCAACUUGGACUACAGCCAGCUACUUACAUUGGCAGCUGCUGCUACUUUUGUUGUUGCUUGGCUAUUUGGAUGGAGUUGCACUUAUUUUAUGCGCUAUCCGUCGAACGAUGUUGCAUGCAACACGCAUCGCCAAUACAACGAUAUACAUAUGUACAUAUGCCCCACAAAGUCUGCGUUCACCCGAAUAGCCUUCUUAAAUUUAUUAAAAACAAAAUACAAUAUUAUGAUUAAAUUGAAAUCUUUACAAUUUGUUUAUUCUCUAGAGCUUUUAAGGGCAAAAAAAAAACAAGAUUCCUCACUUCACUUUUUAGAUAACGGGAAAAUAAUUUCAGCAGCAUGUAAAUGUGGCACCAAAAAGUCUGCGUUCAGCCUGUUUAUUUUAAUGAUACCGUUAAUUUUAAGAUAGUUUUCCUUGUUUAUAUUAAUUUUUGAUUGUGCAUUACUUCGACUGAAUGUUAACAAAGCUUGGUUGAACAUUUUAUUUAUAACUGGACAUAAUUAAAGAACAUGGAAGGAAAGGGAAAAGAAAUAAGGGUUUCUGAGAGGAAAAUAAUUAUAAAAAUGUGGAAAGACGGAAAAAGUUUCCGAAAUAUUGGAAAAUCUAUUGGGAGAACGUAUUCCUCUAUUCAGCGAGUUGUAACAAAUUUUCGGCAAACUGGAAUUUUUACAUCUAAGCCCAGGUCAGGGCAUCCGAAAAAAUUAUCGACCCGGGAAGAGCGUUCUAUAAUCAACUUGGCAAAGGGUAACCCCCGGAUUACAUCCUCAAAAUUAGUUGAAAACAUAAAUCAAACAUUUAAAAAAAAAGUAUUUGCGCUGAAACUGCCAGAAAAGUUCUACAUACGUCAAGCUGGAUACCAUAGUAGAGUCGCCCGAACAGACGUAAACGCAUUCAGUUUGCUAAUGAGUACAUAAUAAGUAAUAUUUUCAGACGAAAGUAAAUUUUGUAUAUUCGGAAUAAAAGGCCGUCAAAUUGUUUGGCGAAAACCUGGAACUGCUCUUGAAAAGCAAAAUCUUGUUGGCACCAUUAAGCACGGAGGUGGCGGGGUUAUGGUUAGGGGCUGCAUGGUGGCAAAUGGGGUGGGUCAGUUAGAAUUUAUUGAUUCGACGAUGGAUACAUGGGGAUACUUGAACUUACUAAACGGGAUUUAAAGCAAAGUGCAAAAAAUCUCGGCUUAUCAAGAACAUUUUGGUUUCAACAAGAUAACGACCCGAAGCACACAGACGAGAUCGUUAAGCUUUGGCUCUUGUACAACGCCCCAAAACAGCUUAAAACACCGCCACAGUCCCCAGAUCUUAACCCCAUCGAACAUCUGCGGAUCUAUUGGAAAAGAUCGUCAGCAAGUGAUUACUAGUAAAGAGGUUUUGCAGAGUGUCAUGCAGGCAGAAUAGAGGAAGAUAACAGCAGAGGAAACAGGGAAACUAGUAAGUUCAAUGCCAAAUAGGCUGAGUGAAGUCCUGAAGCAACGUGGAGAUCCAACUAAAUAUUAGAUUUAAUUUUUGCAUAUAGCAUAUCAUGUUUUUGUUUUAGACUUUAAGACUGAACGCAGACUUUAUGGUCGCUUUAUUUACUUGUUACAGCCAUUAUUCACCGUUAUCUAAAAACUUAUGUGAGGAAUCUUGAAAUUAAUUUUUGUUUUUGAAACUUAAACAUAUAAUAAACAUAUAAAUAUAUACAAAUUUUUAAAAAUUAUAAAA